UAUCCUGGGACUUUGAAGACAAGGCUUUGCGUAGAAACAGAUUCUCUCCAUUAGUCUCUGGGGUCUGUAAGUGUGAACCUGAGAUGAUCCAGCAGCAAGCGAGAAGUUUGUUGAAGCCCAUGGUGAACUGAGAAAUGGAAGUGGCGCCUAGGGUUUUCAGGGUAUGCCUGUCACAUCCACACCACAGCAGUGGACAAAGCCUAGGAGCCUGUGGCAAGGAAAGUGCCUUCAGUCAACGGCGGCUGACCACAUCCCCAUGAGGUCCGAGGCAUGAUGGUCGGUCCAAGGGACUGCUCAUCCUGGCUCUCAAAACUUGAGGAAUGAAAAGGAACAUGGCCAAUGAGGAACAGGUUGCUAUCAAGUGGACCCUGCCAGACUCUGAAUUUCUUCCUGCAAAGAGGACAGUCCAGAAGAAGAAGCUGAAGUCCAAGAGCGGUGAAAUGAUUGGCUGAAGGCCAUCCAGGUCUUUUGGCUUUCCUGUCCCAUUUGAGACUUAGAGCUUUCCUUGAUUAUAAGUCAAGGGCUGUUUGACUGCUGUUUGCUGUUGGCUGAGUUGCUAAGCCACAACUUACCCUAGACGUGUGCUUGUGCAGAUGUAGUAGAUGCUGAUGGUGCCUUGCUGUGAUGCCUUUAAUUGGCAGAUAGAUCCAUCCCCCAAGCUGCUACAAGUGUUGGCUGUUAGCAACUUGCAGCUGCCUUCUUCUUGGAAAAUUGCCCUUGACCAAAUGGGAGUCACUUCAUCCUGGAAGCUAAGCUGUUUUCCCCAUGCCAUGGAGCAGACCUCCAUCAAUGACUGAUGUGGAGGGGUACAAAAGCUUGGCCUCCUUGCCUAAGUGGUGACCAGCUCUGAGGAGCAAUUCAUGCUCCCAAGCUUCCCUAGGGAUCACACUGAAGGGAGUCUCCAGCCAAAACCACAUUUUUGUAGUUUUCUUUGCCCUAUUUUGGUUCCCCCAUUUCCUUCUCCCUGGUGAACUCCCCCAGUAAGUCACUUGAACAAGAAUUCCUGUUUCGAUCUCUGUUUCUAGAGAACCCCAUAUAGGACAUAAACUAUGGGUCAUAGUGUUAUCCCCAACCUGAGUAUUGCUCCCAAACUACACCGCACCAGGCCUAGCCUCUUCAAGAGCCCUCCCUGUCUCCCUCUUACCUACAUCAUCAAGUGAAGACUUCUGUUUCCGAUUUUUAAGUUCCCUACUUGCCUCUAUUCAACCCACUCACCUCAUUGUUUUCUUUCCCUCACUUGCACCUUUCCUCUCAGUGGAUGGGUUUCCUCCCUGGCCUCGGUUUGCAGUUAUCAGAAGAAUUCCUGCCUUCCCUCCUUUUCAUCAUUUUCCUCCCUUCAUUCUUCUGACUGACUCAUUCCUCAGUGCCUUCUCUAGGAAGCUGGUCUCUUCCUUCUUUGAAUAUCUGUGGCCUUCUUUUCAGUGGUUCAUAGGUUAGGACAGUGUUUCCCAGUGUGGAUGGCAUCUCUGAUGACAUGAGAUAUAUAAGGCACUAAGUAGCCUUCAAUAAUAAGAAGAAAGGUAUUUCCAGAUUUAAUCUCAGUCUUUUGUAAUAGAUCAAGGAGAUACCUUAACCCUGAUUCUAACCUUCACUCACAAUCUCAGUUUGGUUCUAGUAUUUUAGUGGUUUGUUUAGCAUGAAAAGCAUGAAACACUUCCUAAUCUCCAUUUUUAACACCAUCACCACUGCCAGCAACAACAGGCUUGGAGUACCUGUAUUUAACUGUCACUUAAUACUAUUAAUAUAGUUUUCUUUUAAUUGCAUUUAUUUUUGAGGCUUUUUUAUUUAUGACACAUGAUAACUAGCUUUCUAUUUUUGGCAAUGCUAUAACAUUUCUUUUAAAAAUAUAUUUAAUUAAAGAGUAAUCUAUAGAAAUUUUAAGUGCAUGAUAGUUUAUGUAUUUCAGAAAAUAUGACACAAAUUGUGAAAGUGGUAUACAGCUGCUCAGCUUUGGGAAACGUGAGUCCUGUCCUGUCUGCUUAUGGAUGUAUUGAUUCAUGGGUAUUACACUUGUCUCCUAAGUUGCUUGCUGAUGCUUUGAAGGUCAGGUAAUAACAUUCCCCAAGGAACUAAGCAGAGUGGCUGGCCUCAUUUCUCCCCUGACCUGCAGGCUGGCUGGCUGGUUGCCUUGCUUCUGGGAAAUGGCCAGGCAGCCUGUUGCUCCCUGUGCCCCUUCCCCACCAGGCAGCUCAUUCCCUUUGUAGUAGCCUCAUGUCAAAACCCAUCAGAACAAGAGACUAUUAAUGAGGAUGGGAAGAGACAGAGAAAAGAGGAAAACACCACAGUAAGAUAAAAACAGAUCAAUAGUGAAGCUAAACAGAGCAAGAGGUUCUGAAAGCAAUUCAGGAGCUGUCAGUUUCUCAACAAACACAGGGUUUCUGAUAAUCUCAGAUGGACACAAAAAGGAGAGAGAUGGACAAAAAGCCAGAGAAGCACAUCAAGGGAAAGCAAUAAGGAGGCUUUACCCAGCCAGAACUCAUCCUCCAGGUUCCCGAAGCCAACACGGUAAUCAGCCCAUUUCCGGAAAAAAUCAGUUUGGCCAUUCUGCCGCCUCUGAAAUACCUAUGAAGGAAAGAAAAAAAAAAAAAGAAAAACCCAAGGAGAUGCUAGGGAAAAUAAACUGUGAUAAGUAAAAUUGAUAUAACUGGGUUUUAAAUUGAUAUAACUGGAUUUUAUAUCUGCAAUGACAAAGAUGUCCAAAGAAGGAACAUUUCAGAGCAGAGCUCAGUAUUUACACAGCAAUUUUUGUAGGAGAUGCUCAGAACACUUCUCUUGAAGUGUAGAGGCCCCUGAUGAAUAGGCUCCAGUGUGAUGUUGACACUAAUUUGCACCCCUGCAAUGUAGAAAGGACUCAGGAUACAUAUCAAGCCCUAAAUAUCAGGGGAAAUAGGCUUGGCUCUCAAAUGAAUCUUUUGCACUACAGAGUGUAGUAGAAAGCAUUUCUCACCAAAAGAAUAGGACCUACUUCAAAUCAGCUAGUAACUGUCAUCGUCCUAUUGCAGGCAAAGCAAUACUGCAUAUCAUUCACUUUCUGAGCUGUUUAAGUGCUUAUUUUAUUUAACCUCCAAUACAUCAACCUUGGCUUCAAUUUCCAAUUAUGCUUUAAGAAGGAGGUGCAAAUACGUCAGAAACAUAAAAGAAAAUGUCUCCCAAGAGUAGCUGUUAUGAGCACAUCACCAUUCAAAACCUACCCGUUUUGCACCAGGAAACAUCCAGCACUGUUAGCAGAGUGAGAGAGGGAAUCCGAAGAAGGGUGGAGGGGCUGGUUUUCCAUCCUAAAGCGAUUUGGCUAAUAUUGGGCUGCUUUAGGGCCAGGCAGUGGGAACUCCCGGCUGCCCCGACAGGCUUGCAUUAAGGAGGCUGCCCUUAUUUUCCCUCACUCUGUAUUGCCCUAUCAGGCAUGGGAGGAGGGUGGUGACAGGAAACAGUGUCUCUCUUUUCCUGACCACUGGUGCUCCCUGAAGGUUGUGAUGGCUCUGGGGAAGAACCAGGGAGACCCCGGGAAGAAUGGGGAAGGGGAGUCAGCUAUCCAUGUUUGGGCCCUCAUCUGCUUUCCCAUACGCAAUCCUCAAUUGGAGGCUUCUGAUCAUCUCUCUGUGGCAGUAAUCACCUCCUCAUACAGAAAUACUUUUCUUCCACUGCCUUUUUGUUUGUUUUUGUUUUGUUUUUUGAGUCUUACUCACUCUGUCACCCAGGCUACAA